rnacentral:tRNA from 1 species
GGGGAUGUAGCUUAGUGGUAGAGUACUUACCUAGCAUGCAUGAGGUCCUGGGUUCGAUCCCCCAGCACCCCA